AUUAUAUACUUAAUAUAUAAUUUAUUAAGUAAUAUGGUGAGAGCCAUGUUAGUAGAUUUUAGUUGGUUGUAGAAUAUAAUUUGAUUAUUACUUUGAGAAGAGGUUGUUUAAAAAGAUUACUAUAGAAUUUGUAUAACUUUAAUUUCUUUUGAUAGUGGCUUUUAAGAUUGGUUUUGGUUGAUAGUAACUUCCAAAUAUUUAGAGUCACCUUUGUUAGACAUUGGUGACAUUUGAAAAUUUAUUUUGGUUCUUUUAUUUGGUGUUUAGAGCAUACAUUAUAUAUAUCUUAUAAGAAAAAGGAUUGAAGAAGGAUUUUGGUAGCAAAGGGAGGAAUUAGGGCACCAAUAUAGAUGAAUGGAGAUGAAAAAUAAAAAUCUCCAUUCCUAUUGAUCAAAAAUGAUGACCAAUGGGCUUUGAGGAGGCUGCCCGAGGCCAUAUUAGGAAUUAGGGUUAGUUUCUCGAGGCCAUUCGAACUUUGAAGGCCCGGGUCAAAAGGUUUAGGUUUUUGGUUAAGGUUUUGGUGCAAGUUUUGUGUCAUUUGGGGUUUUUAUGAAGAAUUUAUAGGUGCUCAAAGUUAAGGUAUUAGUUUUGGACCUACUGUCACUCUUUUGGGCAUAACGCACGCGUACAGAUGGCAAUUGAAGAUCGGCAACUGCGACUGCAGAAAGCAUUUUUGCGGCUAUACUUUUAAUUCACUGUUUACUGGAUUCCAAGUUGGAAUGAAGGAGUUAUUGGAUUUUGAAGUCAGCACAUGCAAUCUAAGGGUAGUAAGUAAACCGAUUUACUAGUGUUUGUCUCUUGACCUAUAUCUUGAGCAAUUUUGUGAGGUUUUGGCUCAAAAUUUCAAGAAAUAUGUAAUUUCAUGUUAAUAAACUUUUUGCAUAAGUUUUAUGACAUUUGGAGUUCGGAUUUUUGAGAUAUAAGGAAAAUAGUUUUCGGGUGCUUGUAAAUUAGGGUUUGGAGUGUCUGCUAGGGUUUCUUAGAUGCCAAAAGAUCGGGAGUGAAUUUGCAGUUGAUUUUUUUGGUGGUAUAAGUUUAGGGUAAAUUCUACCUAUCUUGUAAAUUUGAAACAAACUGAACGGUUAGAUCAAUAGUUAUGAUUUUCUAAAGUUUGGGGCAAAAAAAAACCCUUCGCGGGAAAAAUAUGUUUUGAAGGGAUUUUGUUAUAUUUGGAGUUUUAUACAAAAAUUUAGGAGUUUUGGAAGCCAAGAAAAGAAUCAUACAAAGGUUUAAGGUACACUCUCUACAGCUAGAUAUCCAGUGUAUUCCCAGAUAGCAAAUCACGCCAUGCGACACCGUAUUCAUGUGGAAAUGGGAGCCAAGCGCAAAAUAGGGAAGUUUAUAGCAUUGCUAUGUUCCAAUUAUGUAUAUGCUAUGAUCGCGUACACAUUGCAG
rnacentral:lncRNA from 1 species